AGGGUUCGAUUCUGGCUCAGGAUGAACGCUAGCUACAGGCUUAACACAUGCAAGUCGAGGGGCAGCAUUAAGUUAGCUUGCUAACUUAGAUGGCGACCGGCGCACGGGUGAGUAACGCGUAUCCAACCUUCCCCCUGCUCAGGGAUAGCCCGCUGAAAGGCGGAUUAACACCUGAUAGCUUCACUAGAUGGCAUCUGACGGUGAAUAAAGAUAACGGCAAGGGAUGGGGAUGCGUCUGAUUAGCUUGUUGGCGGGGUAACGGCCCACCAAGGCAACGAUCAGUAGGGGUUCUGAGAGGAAGGUCCCCCACAUUGGAACUGAGACACGGUCCAAACUCCUACGGGAGGCAGCAGUGAGGAAUAUUGGUCAAUGGGCGGAAGCCUGAACCAGCCAAGUAAGCGUGCAGGAAGACGGCCCUAUGGGUUGUAAACUGCUUUUGUACGGGAAUAAAGUCAGGGACGUGUCCCUGUUUGCAUGUACCGUAAGAAUAAGGACCGGCUAAUUCCGUGCCAGCCGCCGC
rnacentral:rRNA from 1 species